CCUAAUAAUCAUAUCCUAAUAAUCAUAUCUCUUAUAGUAUAGGCGCAAGAGAAGAUAUAGAUGAAAUUCAUUGUUGCCCUACAGCGCGGGUAAUACGAGAUAGCUGAGUUUAGAAUAUAAGCAAAAGGGUAAUCCAAGCAUUCAAGUUCAGGCAGUAAGGUCAGAUUCAUAAGAAAGGGAAGCAGUGCGAGAGGAAGCUCCAGAAUAGACUGUUCGACACUUUCCAUAAGGCCAUAAUCUAAG
rnacentral:lncRNA from 1 species